UACGAAGGGUGCAAGCGUUAAUCGGAAUUACUGGGCGUAAAGCGCGCGUAGGCGGUCUGGUAAGCGGGAUGUGAAAUCCCCGGGCUCAACCUGGGAACUGCAUCCCGAACUGCCUGACUAGAGUACGGUAGAGGUGAGUGGAAUUUCCUGUGUAGCGGUGAAAUGCGUAGAUAUAGGAAGGAACAUCAGUGGCGAAGGCGACUCACUGGAUCGAUACUGACGCUGAGGUGCGAAAGCGUGGGUAGCAAACAGG
rnacentral:rRNA from 1 species